GGGACCCUGGGCACCAAGUGAGGCAACCAUCCCUUUUCACUUGGGAUAAAGAGGGCACUGAGUUGGUGAGCGCGCUGAGGGCGAAGCUGGAAAUUCCUGCGACAUCAUCCUGGCCCCGACUCAGGAGUAAUGAGGGUUGGAGAAUCCUGGGCACCCAUGGAUACCACUGCUGCUGGCUGACGUCUGCCAAGAGAGAGGCUGCGCCUUCUUAGCAUGAAUUCUUUACUUUCGAAACAAAUGAGUUGUAACAUGUCACACCUGAUUAUGACAAUGCAGGUUGAGAAC